GUGCUCUCUUUGGCAGCACAUAUACUAAAAUUGGAACCAUACAGAGAAGAUUAGCUGGGCUCCUGCGCAAGGAUGACAUGCAAAUCCGUGAAGCGUUCUAUAGUUUU
ensembl:snRNA U6 U6 spliceosomal RNA